rfam:Pediococcus acidilactici DSM 20284 genomic scaffold SCAFFOLD1, whole genome shotgun sequence.
GAGAAAAAGCAGAGGCCACCGCUUCUCGCCUUGUAACUUAGAAGUUGCUGGGCUAAAGAACGUUGAAUGGAUGUUGAAGAUCCAAAAAAAGCGGGUGGCGUGUGCCAUCCGCUUUUCUGCAUUCUC